CCGCCGGCUGCAGUCCACUUGCGAAUGUUCGCGCCGCGCCGCGUAUGACGAAUGAAAUUUCGAAAAUCGAACGGCGAAAAAAAGUGCAAGUGCCAGUGACUAUUUCUAAACACCUUAAACCGAAAAAGUUCCUGACAACAACACUAUAGAAUUAGCGAAAAUGUCAAAGUUAAAACCAUAGACUAAUACAUAGACAAUAAACCGGAAACAUAUGCCCUUUGCCUAGUUAAGUGGAUAAAAAAUCCACUCAUAUGCACAGAGAGGCCUCCCACGUCUUCGGGGAUUCUCUCAAACUACGUCUAAAACUACUACAACGGACGACCACGUACUUUAAAGUGGUAGAAUUCGUCAAAAAAGAUGCCAUCCGAUUCUUCACUUACGACUACGAGAUACACCAAUUGAUAUGAAUAUAUUUAUAGUGAACGGCUAUCAUUCAAAGAAUCUUGUUAAGCUGAAACUCAUUUGAUUCUCUGACAAUAAUAUUGACUUUAUAAUUUUAAGCAAUCUUUACAAUAUAAAAAUAUAGAAAUCAAAGAUGGCGGUGAAAGCGGAGCCGAUAGGUCCGAGAAAUGGGCAUGAGUUGGCGCCUUUGAAUACGAGGGCAGAUGGAAGCGAGCGGCCUCAUGGGGUGACCAUUGUCCUGCAGGGCUCCAGGGGGUCACUGCAGAGGGUCCCGGAAGGGCCAGGGGAGGAUAGAGCAGCCUGGUCUGGAAAGUUGCAGUUCUUUUUGUCCAUUAUUGGGUAUUCGGUGGGAUUGGGGAAUAUAUGGAGGUUCCCGUAUCUGUGCCAGCAGAAUGGAGGAGGUGCCUUCCUCAUUCCGUUCCUCAUCAUGCUGGUGCUGGAAGGCAUCCCCCUCUUCCUCAUCGAGAUGGCCAUCGGGCAGAAGAUGCGUCUCGGCUCCCUGGGGGUGUGGAACACCAUCCACCCCUGGCUGGGCGGGAUCGGUAUCUCCUCCUGUAUAGUCACGCUGUUCGUGGCGCUUUACUACAACGUCAUUAUCACUUGGGUGUUCUUCUACCUGUUCAACAGUGUUAGGAUCAACCUCCCCUGGGCCACCUGUCCCUCCGACAACAGCAGCGCCCAGAUCGAGUGCAACAAGGCUUCAGCCACCGCCUACUUCUGGUACCGAUCAGCCCUGGACGCGUCUCCAAGCAUCGAGGAGCCAGGCGCGCCGAAAUGGUGGAUCGUACUGUGUCUGCUGCUGGCCUGGAUUGUCGUGUUCUUUAUUGUGAUGAAGGGGAUACAGAGCAGCGGGAAGGUGGUGUACUUCACGUCGCUGUUCCCGUACGUGGUGCUGACCAUAUUCUUCAUCAGAGGGAUCACGCUGCCGGGGUCUGCCGACGGCAUCGUGCACAUGUAUAGCCCUAAGCUGGAGAUGCUCCUCGAGCCCACCGUGUGGCUGGACGCGGCCACGCAAGUGUUCUACUCCUUUGGUCUCGCGUUCGGGUCUCUGAUCGCUUUCGGCUCCUACAACCCGCCCGACAACAACUGCGUGCGCGACGUGCUGCUCGUGUCCGUCUGCAAUGCCCUUACCGCUAUAUACGCGUCCGUCGUUAUAUUUAGUAUACUUGGGUUCAAGGCGUAUACUAUGGCGGAGAGGUGCAUUGCUAGCUCCAUUGAGAUCUUGGCACACAACAACGUCCCCGGAUUCUACCCUAACACCACCUUCGAUUACUACAGAGAGCAUUACCCCGAUCUGGUGAAGGAGAACAUCACGAGCCGACUCAAUUUGUCGGAUUGCAGCAUGAGCAAGCAGCUUAAUGAGGCGGCCGAAGGUACAGGCCUAGCUUUCAUCGUGUUCACCCAAGCCAUCGUAGAACUGCCCUUCGCUCCGUUCUGGUCCAUCAUCUUCUUCUUGAUGCUGCUGUCCCUGGGCCUGGGCAGCCAGAUCGGCAUCAUGGAGGGCAUGCUCUGCACCAUAUUUGAUAUUGAGUUCUUUAAGAGGAUCAGCAAGCCGAUUAUCACUGGUAUCUUAUGUAUUUUCUGCUUCAUAACUGGGCUGAUCUUCACGACUGGCGCGGGCGAGUACUGGCUCAAGAUGUUUGACUCGUUCGCCGGCACCAUCGGCCUGGUGGUGGUCGCGCUUUUGGAGAUGGUCUCUGUCAUUUACAUCUAUGGCCAUGAGAAGUUCUCAAACGACAUCUACGAGAUGACGGGCUAUCGCCCCGGGCUCUACUGGCAGCUCACGUGGCGCUACAUCGGGCCCUGCGUCGUCUCUUGCAUCCUAGUGUCAUCAAUCAUUUCUAUGAUCUAUUCGCCUCCCACUUACGGGGCUUGGAAUGCUGACGAGGGCCGCGUGGUGAAGACUCCAUACCCUGACUGGGUGCUCCUCAUCGCCCUCUGCAUGAUCCUGGCCGGCAUCCUGCCCAUCCCUGUGGUGCUGUUGCUGCGCCGCUUCCAAUGCCUCGCUUUCGACGUGGACAUCCACCAGGGCAGCAUCAGGAGAAUCGAGACCACCGUGUCGACUAAGGAGAUGAUGAGUGAUCAGGAUUCCUCAGACGAAGCCAUCGACGACCACUAUUCGUCCAGCAGCGACGAAGAAGUACUCAACGCGGGCCGACUCGCCAUGCGACCGGUUUUCAAGAUGGACGUCGUCGAGCCGCUGGGAGUUUGAAAAUCGAAUUCGAUUAAUUUGAUCUAUCCCAGGUAGCAUUUAUACGUCAUUAUGACUUUGCUGACGUCACUGCUACCUGGGAUGGGCUCUAUAAACCUCGCCAAAAUCGCAACCUUUUGAUACAUUGUGGUUUUUGAUCGAUUGAUACAAUUUGUUGACUUCGGCUUUCGGCAACGUAUCAAGAUUCGCAUGCAAUUGGUGACGCCUGUAGAGUCAAUUACUUUCUAAGAAGUUUGGUUAUUUUGUAAUGCGUACCACCAAAUUAAAUAAUAAGUUUAAUUAAUUAUUAAUUAAUUAAUUUGCGUUGCAAAUUGACAGGUUGCUAAAAAAAUGUUUAUUUGGUUACAGAAUAUCACAGUUCAUGAAAAGCUAUGAUGCUCAUAACUUGAUUUGGUAUCCCACUAGCAUUUGGGGGAUUAACACUUUCACCGCUGAGCUACAGUCGCAGCCAAUAACAUGGGUUUCCCGGUAUGUAGCGAUAAUGCUUCGUAGAGGCAAAACGACAACGUGUCGUGACUAGCGCUGAAUGGGUUAACAUCAUUCCGGUUAAGUAUUUAAGUUGUUUAUUUCUGAUUUAAAUAACAUAAUCUCGUAAUUAUGCAUAGUAAGCGACGACCAGGCCUGUCAAUUUUAAUAUUUGAAGUUGAGUUUACAUUUUCAUAAAUCAAUUGAUAUUUCGACGUUAUUUUACGAUAUUUUUAUGUUAGUUGUAAGAGUAAGUCAAGCCACAGACGGAUCAAUAAUACUCGCACAAUAUGCUCCGUAUCUUAAAUCUCAAAAAAUUAAGAGUGAUACGAAUCUAGCCGCCGGCAAACAAUCGGAGCCACGGUCUCAUUUUAAAAAUACAUGCUUUACACAUUCACUGCCAACGUUUUCGUAGCGCUACGCUCGUAGCCGAUCCCAGCGUUGUCCCGCUUUUUAGUUUAGAGGAAAGCGAUUACAAACUGAAAACCCGCCGAAUGUGUUCUCGGCACUCAAUGUUUAAAUUACGUCCUUAAACUUGCCAUACACAUAUAAGUAACAUAUAUCUAUGACAUAUAUAUGAGUAUGAUAUUUGAUACUAGUUUUCGUUGCUAAAAAUUGUUAUACAAAGAAAAUAGGGAGUGGAAGUUUUACAUAGAAAAACAUAUCUUUCAUUUCAGUACACUAUUACUAGAUAUAUAUAUAAAAGAUUCAUGUCAAAUUACAUGUUAUUACAGAAUAUCGUAUUAAAAUGAGAGCAAACCCGGUCAAUUCUAAUAACGUGAUAAUUACUAGAUGCGAGAACAAUACGUGAUCUAAUAGAUACGUUAUAGUUUAGUUCUCAACUAGUUAUCUUUUGCAGUUCGAUUCGAGACACUAAUUGUCAUUUCGCUAUAAUUAUUGUGACGUUUUGGAUAUCCAUUAGAUAUCCAUUGGAUGUCUAAGUAAUAUUUUAAGCAAAUCUUAAAGAGAUCGUUCAAGCGGACAUUCGGAAUCGCGGAAAUGUCAAAUUUGACAUGACUUUCUUAAAUAUCUCGUUAUCGUUUCUGUUUCAUAUCUAGUGGAUAUCUAGAUCAUUGUUCGAAUUGGCCCGUUUCUAUUGAAUGGCGAUGGCUUAGUUCGUGUGGCUAUUAACCUCAAGAAAUUGUGGUAAAAUUAUUAGAUAAUGUGCGCGUAUCAAAUUGAUCGUCUGUUAGGCUGCUUAAGUGUUCGCAACGCGAAGAAUCUCAGUGAAUAUGCCAAUGGUUCUAAACUAAGUCGUUGAUAAUUAGAGAAUUGUUAAAUUGAUGUGCACACAGGGUUGGCAUAGAGGAUUUUGAAAAUGGAGCCUGUUCUAAACUAAGGUGUAUUCGAAUUUUUAAAAUGCACUGUAAUUUUUGAUGAUAUGCGAGUAAUAUCAUAUCAAGUUGGCAUUUUAAGAAACUGAAUAGGCCUCAUUCAUAUUUAUGAAUUGCAGUCAAUAGCUGAUCACUUUGCAAUAUAAACUACAAAAGCAUUUUAAAGGCCGGGGCAACCAAAGACUAACAAAAAUGAAUUGAUUGGCAAGCUAUUUUUGGGCAACCUGUAUAGUGUAGAUAUUUUUGGCAACUGUAUUUUAUGCGUCUAAAUUAAGAAUAAAAAUACUAAUAUAAUCAUGCACUAAAUCCAUCAGACAAGGAUUCGAAAAUGUAAAAAUUAUAAUAAAGGGCACGAAGUUAAUAUUUAUAAAGCUAAUGAGAUUUAUAGUUGCAUUACCUAAUUCAUAAGAACUGAUUUUUGACAUAAAUAAAUUAUAACAUUUAAAACCUACGCGGUUUGAACUCAUAUUAAACGUCGUAAAUAAAGGUCGGUAAAUAAAGGCAACAAAAUAAAUUCGCGAUAGACCCGAUUAAAAAUGUGGUUUAAUAAAUAAACUAACCCAUAAAUAUAAAGCUAAAACCUACUGCUUAGCUGACAGCUGUGAAGCUAUCGUAUUAAGUUCAAGUUCAUUAUUUAUGAAUAUAUUAUAAAGGUCAAUUUAUAACAGUCAAAAAUCAGCUCCAUCUUUCAUCAUCAUUUUGAGACCGGCUGAAUUUUAAAUUCGAUUUACAUCAUAUUAUUUAAAAAAAUACUCGAUAAAAUAGUAAGGAUAUCAACCUCUGUGUGCACCUAGCCUUGUUAGGUCUAUUAGGCUCUAAACUUAAUACUUAGCGUUAACUUAGCGGCAUACCGCACUGACUUAGAUCAGUUCAUUUAACAAUAUAGGUACAUCACUUUCGGACAAAAGUCGCUGGCAAUAUAGUAGUUUUUUUCUCAUUCUUGUAAAAUUAUUAAGGUACAUAUUAUAGAUACCUAGUAUUUCAUAAAGUAUUUUUAAAGACACAACGUUGGAAAUAUCAAAUAUCCAGUUCAAGUUUCACUCAAGGUGGUGUUUACAUAUUUUUUGGAAAUUAAGAAAAACCUAAUUCUACACUACUUCAUGUAUUUUCUUUUAUGUCCCAGAUCUAAAGCUGCAGGCAACCCGGUAUAGUUUUUUUUUCACAAAUACAUGUUAAUAAAAAUUGUAUUUGGAAGUAAUAAUCUAAUUCUUAAGGAUCGUUGCAUAUGUAUUUAAAAUCGACAUGUUUAAACAUAUUAAUAACAUGUCGCUCACGUAUUUUAAGUCGAAAACGCUCGACAUGUUUCACUCCGUACCGAGGAGGUCAUCAGGAGCUUGCGUCGACGGUGACGGACCGGCGCAUACAUGUUUAAAGAAAUAUAGCUACUAUUAUUGCCAGCGAACAUUUGUUUGUUAUACAUGAUUAAUUGAUUAUAAUAUAUCGAAACAAGACAGGAAUAGUACGUUACCUUCGCAUUUUAGUCUAGGUAUCCUAGGUUAAGGAAGCCAUGCUAGUUCGUUAGUUUAGGUAGAUUAGCGUAGAACGCACAUGUUGUUCUGGGGAGGCAGGCUGGGCAGGAGAUGUAGGAAAAGUUAGGAAAGUAAGGGUAAAAUGUGAUUUAAAAAAAACUAUCAAAAAAUAUAUGACUAGAGGCACAAUGCCAAAAAAGAAAAAUAAAUUAUAGUAAAUUAAUCAUCGACUAUUACUUACCGGUCAUCCUGUAUGAAAAUAGAUCAUUCAUUUAAUUCUAAAUAUUUUGAUUAUCUCUAACUUAAAUUAUAAACAAAUAUUUUUAUUCAAAUGUUAAGUAUUUAAACUCAGUGCUACAUAAAUUAUAAAAUUUACGACUCCAUAGUAAAUUGAGUAAGAGCGUGCGACUUGCAAUCCGGAGGUCGCGGGUUUAAACCCCGGCUCGUACCAAUGAGUUUUCGGAACUUAUGUACGAAAUAUCAUUUGAUAUCAGUCGCUUUUCGGUGAAGAAAAACACCGGGAAGGAACCGGACUAAUCCCAAAAAGGCCUAGUUUACCCUCUGGGUUUAACGGUCAGAUGGCAGUCGCUUUCGUAAAUACUAGUGCCUAUGCCAAUUCUUGGGAUUAGUUGCCAAGCGGACCCCAGGCUCCCAUGAGCCGUGGCAAAAGCCAGGACAACGCGAGGAAGAUGAUGACAGUAAACUGAGUAAAUUAUUUUUGAUGUUUUUAAUGGUAACAUCUGAUAUCAUUAGCCAACCUAAGAACCUUAAUUAAAAAUCAUUACACAAAAUGUCAAAUUUAAUAUCGUGUUCAUUAAAAAGAAGCUCAUUAGUAUUAAAAUCGAUGUAAUAUUGCAUGUUAGUAUAGUUUGAGUCCAGUCUGCCCCUCCAGUUACGGAAUGCCGUAAAAAAUAAGAAAAAAUCGUUUUAGCUAUUCGGGUCUUCCUCUAAGGGGGACGUUCCAAAACAGGUGUUACCAGCUUAAAUAUAUUUAUUAAGUGACGCAACGUUCCAAAGAUGUAAAUAAGUUGAGAUUCUAAACAAAUUAUUCAAAUUUGAAGAUAUUUUAAUGUUUAUUAGCAUAUUUUUCAUUUAAAAUUUUGACAUAAAAUAGUACAUAUUUUUAAAUUAAAUUUUAGUACAUACUGAAUUUCAAGACCGUUGUAAUUCUAUUUUUAUUCGAAUUAUUAUGUAAUUUAAGAUGUGAGCACUUCAAAAAUGUUACUUAAAUGUUCUUAGUGUUAUUUUUAUCUUAAAAUAAUUAUGGUUAAGUAUUAAAGUCGAAAACAGUUACGAAUCAAUUAGUAUUAUAUGUUUUUGAUAGUUAUUGACUAAAGGCGAGGCACGCACGACAAAUUUCUUUCAAUUAUUGUUUAUUAUGUACCUUUAGAACAUAUUUUUCUGUUUAUCUCUAUAUCUCUUUCAGUUAAAAUAAUGACGCUCUACAGAUUGUAUUGACUUUAACGUUUACACAUAUUAUUUAUGUGUGUGUAUUAUGAUUAUGUACUCGUAUUUUUCAAAUAAAAUUCAUUUAAUAGUUAUUUACGAUACAAGUGCGGAAAAGAGGAAAGUCGAAACGAGCGGCGAUAAAUUAAAACACGACCGCAGGGUGUUUUAAAUCGACACGAGUUGCGAAUUACCUAUUCGCACGUGUAUCGUACAACGUUUUACAGUACAUAUGGCCCUUUAAACUUUCGAAAUAUGCACGAAAAGUGCUAUUUGACGCACUAGUGCGAGAAAGUAGCACCAUAUGUACUGUAAAUAUCUUUUAUCUAACAGGAUACUUUCCUAACUAUCAAUGCGUGGUAACUACUAUACCAUACUAUUAGCUUUAGAAUUUCAAAAUAUUUACUUAUGAGAUACUUUUUAAUUUAAAAUAGUUUGCUCUUAAAUGUGUUUUACAUCCACAGCUAUACCCCAAUUUAUUUGCCACCUGUAUUAUACAGGAUGGGUUGUGCGCGCCUCGCCUCUCUCUUGUUCGAGUAGAUAGCUUCGGGAACCUCCCGCUAGUUGUAUUUAGUAACCGAUGAUAUUAAUAUUGUAAUUACAUUUUGAAAUGCAGAAUAAAUUAUUGCCAC